GACAUCCGUUUUUGAGAAUAGUCUUGGUAUUUCAACAUUUCACCAAUGUGUUUAUCUACAGUCAUCAGAGUUCCCUGCAAAAACAAAAGUGUCUACUGACUGACAGACCAUCAAAACACUACUGUAUAGUGGUGUAAGUGGUUAAAACAGGUGACUCUUCCAGGUGGCCUUUGCCUACUUUUAGGGAAAUUAUGACAGACGGGAUUCAAGAUAACCUUGCUCCACCUGGGAUACAAAAUGUACAACUUAAACAGUUGUAGAGAUCAGGAAGAUUAAUCAGACAAGACUCAAAGUUGACUUCCAGCUUUAUCUUUGAUAUGUGUAAAAUAAAGACUUUACCUCGAAGGAAAGUGUUAUUUGCUUUUCAA